AACCAUCUGAGCCUGUUGUUGACACUGGACCAAGAUGGCUGUGACAGCAUGAGAACCCUCAAGUGAGGUCCAUGUAAUUAUUCCCAGUCACCACUCAGAUGCAGAAGAGGUCGCAGACAAAUUCUGCCAGAACACACUCUCGGCUCCAAGAUCGACAAUGUCUGGCUGAGCUUUAAACUUCUAAUUCUCCUGCCUCUACCACCUGGGUGCUGCCAGAUCCAGUUUUAUGCAGUACUGGGGGUCAAACUCAGGGCGUAAUACAUUCAAGAUGUACCACUCAUGGAUGUGUCCAGGAAGGAACAUACCAAAGAGCAUACCGAAGAGAUGCCUGCACAUCUGUGUUUGCUGUACUCACAAUAGCCAGACCAUGCAAUCAGCCUCAGUGUCCAUCCACAGAGAAGUGAAUAAAGAAAAUGUGGUCCAUAUCUACAGUGGAGUCCUACUGAGCCACAGAUCAUGGAAUGAUGCUAUUUUCAGGAAAAUGGACGGAACAUUGUACUAAGUAAAAUACAACAGACUGAGGAAGACAAGAACCUCAUACUUUCACUCGUGCAAAAUCUAGAUUUUAAAAAAAAGGAGAAAGGCGUGAAAGAAGGGUAGCUAUCUGGGAAGAGGAAGGAGAAACAUGGGACCACAGUGGAGAAAGAACAGCAUCAAAGUCCAUUGCAUAGGGCUGGGGGCAGAGUACACACAAGGCCCUCGAUUCAACAGCCAGUACCAUAAACAUACAUUCAUAUUGUAAAUAUGACAAUUUCACGAUAAAAACCUGUUAUCCUGCAAAAUUCAUACACGCUAAUUUUUUGAGAAAAGCAAAUCUCAGCUCUGGGAAAACUAAGACAAAAUACAAGUUUGAGACCAGAAUAGGGCUGUAUAGCAAGACUGUAUCAAAAAAAAAAAAAAAAAGUAAGUCAGGAAUGGUGGCAUACUUCUUUAAUCUCUCCACUCAAGAGGUACAGUCGGAUGAUCCUCGUGAGUUUGAGAUCAACCUGUUAUACAAAGU